GCGAAGAGCGACUCAGAUCUGCCGCCGACUGAGGGGUGGGAACCGCUGCCGCAGGCUGGCAAGAGACCGCUACCGCAGCUGGAAGUGAAGGCGUGACGGG
rnacentral:SRP_RNA from 13 species